rnacentral:rRNA from 2 species
CCUACGGGAGGCAGCAGUGGGGAAUAUUGCACAAUGGGCGCAAGCCUGAUGCAGCGACGCCGCGUGCGGGAUGACGGCCUUCGGGUUGUAAACCGCUUUUGAUCGGGAGCAAGCCUUCGGGUGAGUGUACCUUUCGAAUAAGCACCGGCUAACUACGUGCCAGCAGCCGCGGUAAUACGUAGGGUGCAAGCGUUAUCCGGAAUUAUUGGGCGUAAAGGGCUCGUAGGCGGUUCGUCGCGUCCGGUGUGAAAGUCCAUCGCUUAACGGUGGAUCUGCGCCGGGUACGGGCGGGCUGGAGUGCGGUAGGGGAGACUGGAAUUCCCGGUGUAACGGUGGAAUGUGUAGAUAUCGGGAAGAACACCAAUGGCGAAGGCAGGUCUCUGGGCCGUUACUGACGCUGAGGAGCGAAAGCGUGGGGAGCGAACAGGAUUAGAUACCCUGGUAGUCCACGCCGUAAACGGUGGAUGCUGGAUGUGGGGCCCGUUCCACGGGUUCCGUGUCGGAGCUAACGCGUUAAGCAUCCCGCCUGGGGAGUACGGCCGCAAGGCUAAAACUCAAAGAAAUUGACGGGGGCCCGCACAAGCGGCGGAGCAUGCGGAUUAAUUCGAUGCAACGCGAAGAACCUUACCUGGGCUUGACAUGUUCCCGACAGCCGUAGAGAUAUGGCCUCCCUUCGGGGCGGGUUCACAGGUGGUGCAUGGUCGUCGUCAGCUCGUGUCGUGAGAUGUUGGGUUAAGUCCCGCAACGAGCGCAACCCUCGCCCUGUGUUGCCAGCACGUCAUGGUGGGAACUCACGGGGGACCGCCGGGGUCAACUCGGAGGAAGGUGGGGAUGACGUCAGAUCAUCAUGCCCCUUACGUCCAGGGCUUCACGCAUGCUACAAUGGCCGGUACAACGGGAUGCGACACGGCGACGUGGAGCGGAUCCCUGAAAACCGGUCUCAGUUCGGAUUGGAGUCUGCAACCCGACUCCAUGAAGGCGGAGUCGCUAGUAAUCGCGGAUCAGCAACGCCGCGGUGAAUGCGUUCCCGGGCCUUGUACACACCGCCCGUCAAGUCAUGAAAGUGGGUAGCACCCGAAGCCGGUGGCCUAACCCUUUGUGGAUGGAGCCGUCUAAGGUGAGACUCGUGAUUGGGACUAAGUCGUAACAAGGUAGCCGUACCGGAAGGUGCGGCUG